AGCGAAUCACAGCAAGGGCGUACGGAGGAUGCCUUGACACAAAGAGGCGAUGAAGGACGUAGCGUGACUGCGAUAAGCUUCGGGGAGCCGUCUAGCAGGCUUUGAUCCGGAGAUGUCCGAAUGGGGAAACCCCGUCGUGUGAACCACGAUGACUCUGCGCAAGCAGGGAGCGUACCUGGGGAAGUGAAACAUCUCAGUACCCAGAGGAAAAGAAAUAGAAUAGAUGCCCCGAGUAGCGGCGAGCGAAAAGGGCAAAGCCUAAACUUUUUUCUUGUUAUGCAAAUAACAGGGAAGGAGGGUAAUAAGGGCAGAACACUGAACUUUUGACUUUGCACAGACACAUCAUGUGCAGGGUCAAAACUUCUAAAGAGUUACAAAUUGAAAUGCUAGCAGAACGGCCUUGGAACAGCCGGCCACAGCGGGUGACAGCCCCGUACGCGAAAGCGUUUCAACUCUUGUUUUGUUUCUUGAGUAGCCCGGGAUAAGAUUGUCCUGGGUGAAUUCGUCCAUACUACUGGAUAAGGCUAAAUACUCUUUGUGAUCGAUAGUGAACCAGUACCGUGAGGGAAAGGCGAAAAGAACCCCGGCGAGGGGAGUGAAAUAGAAACUGAAACCGUAUGCCUACAAAGAGCCGGAGCCUGCCGUCGCGAGACGUCGGGUGACGGUGUGCCUAUUGAAGAAUGACCCAACGAGUUUACUUAACCUGCACUGUAAGUCCCUCUGGGACGGACGGAAAGGGAAACCGAGUGUUAAUAGCGCGUUUAAGAACUUUCACACAGUGGCUUUAGGGCCAUCGUGUGAAAAUUCUUUAUGCAGGUUAGGUAAGACCCGAAGCCAGGUGAGCUAACCAUGAGCAGGGUGAAGUUCGGCGAAAGCCGAAUGGAGGCCCGAACCGUUUGGCCGCUCAAUGCCAUCGGAUGACUUGUGGUUUGGAGUGAAAAGCUUAUCGAACCUGGUAAUAGCUGGUUCUCCCCGAAAUGUCUUUAGGGACAGCGGGAUAUAGUAGCGAAGGGGGUAGAGCACUGAUUGGUUCGCCGUGCCCGCAAGGGUAGGCCUACCAGACAAACUCCGAAUACCUUCGUGCAAUGUAUCCCAGUGAGUAUGCGAGGGCGAAGCUUCGUGUACGCAAGGGAAACAGCCCAGAUCACCAAUUAAGGUCCCAAAAUCUAAACUAAGUGAAAAGGAAGUUCUGUGCCUUAGACAGGUAGGAGGUUGGCUUAGAAGCAGCCACCCUUUAAAGAGUGCGUAAUAGCUCACUACUCGAUCCGCCUUCGGGCGGGAGGCACGGUGCGCCGAAAAUGUAUAGGGGCUAAGUUUAGUACCGAAAUUGUGGGUUCGCAUUUAUUUAUAUAUUUGCGAGCGGUAGGGGAGCAUUCCCAUCUGCUGUGAAGGUGAACUGUGAAGUUUGCUGGAGCGUUGGGAAGGGAGAAUGUUGGGAUGAGUAACCGCAAGUGAUGUGAAAACCAUCACCGCCGUAAGUCCAAGGUUUCCUCCGCGAUGACAAUCAUCGGAGGGUGAGGCGAUCCUAAGUGUAAGGCGGCUUUCGGGCCGACGAUCAUGAUGGCCAGCCGGUUAAUAUUCCGGCCCUUGGGCAGUGUUCGAAGGAGUGACGGAGCGCAGUACAUCAGGCGCAUUAUUGGAUUUGACGUGCAUUGCGUAGGGAUGGGACACAGGCAAAUCCGUGUCCGGCCNNNNNNNNNNNNNNNNNNNNNNNNNNNNNNNNNNNGCGAAAUUCAGCCGAGCACGCUUCCAAGAAAAACUUCUAAGUUAUGCAGAAACCAAAACGUACCGCAAAACCGACGCAGGUGGACUGGCAUCAGUGUGCCAAGGCGAACGGGUGAUUAUUGGCUAAGGAACUCGGCAAAAAAGCGGCCGUACCUUCGGUAUAAGGCCUGCCCAUCGCAAGAUGGGCCGCAGCGAAAGAACCCCUGGCGACUGUUUAUCUAAAACACAACUCCGUGCUAAGGCGCAAGCCGAUGUAUACGGGGUGACGCUUGUCCGGUGCCGGAACGUUAACGGUUGAAGUGGUGUGCCGCAAGGUGCAUUGCGGAAGCCCGAAGCGCCGGUGAACGACGGCAGUAACUAUAACUGUCUAAAAGUUCUGCACAUCUAGCUAUAGGUGUUCAGAAGAGCUUAGACGGUUACAGAUAAGAUAAAUAGAGGUAGCUGCUUAUCGAGCUAAGCUCGAUGCUCUCAAAAUAUAUUCGACCAUAUGCUGGAAAGUCUGUGGAUAAAAUCCUAAGUAUUGAGUGCUACUUAUGGUAAAAUGAUACCAUGAGUAAAAAUGUAUCUCAUGCAGAUAAUCAGCAGGAAAGAUUAAGACUGGAAGGUUGGAUCAGCGGAUUUGUAGAUGGCGAGGGAUGCUUUACCAUAAGCAUCAUUCGCAAUCCAUAUGGCUGGCAAGUAUUUCCAGAGUUUGUGGUAAGUCAAGGCGAAAAGAGUCGUGCCGCUCUAAAGAAAAUAGAAAACUUCUUUGGAUGCGGUUACAUUAAUCUUAAUACACGCAGAGACAAUCAUCACGAACAAAUGUUGAAAUACUGUGUCAGAUCAAUCCAAGAUCUAAACGACGCUAUCAUCCCAUUCUUUGAAGUAAAUAAACUGAAAACUUACAAGCAAAAGGAUUUUCAGGUGUUUCGCAAAGUUAUCAGACUGAUGACCCAAAAGAAACAUCGAACAGAGAAGGGGCUAGACAAGAUACGUUCUCUGCUUCAAACAAUGAAUCGGAGAAAAUGCAAAGUCUUAAAAUCCUCAGAGACUAUACGUCGAACUGAUAUAUUAUCAGAAAAUAUAGUCCGGUCUUCACGGCGACGUGAAGGGUAGAAAUACCGCAACAGAUUUGUUGUAACAUAUCAAGCGAAAUACCUUGUGGGGUAAGUUCCCACGCGCAUGAAUAGCGGAACGACUGGGGGACUGUCUCAGCCAAUAGCCCGGUGAAAAUGCAAUGUCAGUAAAGAUGCUGACUACCCGCACCUAGACGGGAAGACCCCGGAAGCUUCACUGCAGCUUGGUAUUGGUCUACGAGUUGUUAUGCGUAGCGUAGUGAGUAGGAUUUGAAGUCCCGAUUUCGGUCGGGAUGGAUCCGCCAAUGAAACACUCAUCUUAACGAUUUGUAGCUCUAACCGGCCCCUCCCUUUCAGUAAAUGAAAUAGAGGAAUGUAUAAGCUUUCGAGUAAUAUCGGGAGUUUUAUCAUACUUUCAAUCAUAGAUUGAAAGGGAGGGAUCGAGACAGUGCCUGGUGGGCAGUUUAAGUGGGGCACUUGCCUUUAUCAAAUCAAAAUUCAAAAAGUUGGUUUGGUAAAGCCCAGGUGCUCCAGAGAAUUUAAAUUUCUCGAAACAAAAAUUAGGGGGUGUUGUAGAAAUACAACAGGAAUCAGCUAUAUCGGGGAAUAUCUUUUAAAAGAGACAAUCCCGAGGGAAGUCGUAAUUGACCCCGUAGAGACUGUACGCUGAAUCAGUAAUUUUCUUUGGAAAACUAGAAAGUUCCUGAAUAAUAUAGUCCGAACUGUAUGGUGACAUGCAGAGCAUGACAGAAAUGUUUAUGCCAAUAACGAAAGUUAUUUGUAACACAAUUGCCUAAAGAGUAAUGGAGGCGUUCAUCAAGGUUGGCUAGUUCCGGAUGGACAUCGGAACGAUAGCGUAAAGGCAAAAGCCAGCUUAACUGCAAGACGGAUAUGUCGCGCAGAUGCGAAAGCAGGACUUAGUGAACCGACGCUACCUCGUAGGAGGGGCGAAGAUCAACAGAUAAAAGCUACUCCGGGGAUAACAGGCUAGUACUGCCCGAGCGUUCACAGCGACGGCAGUGUUCGGCACCUCGAUGUCGGCUCGGCUUAUCCUGGGACUGAAGAAGGCCCCAAGGGUUUGGCUGUUCGCCAAUUAAAAAGCUACGCGAGCUGGGUAAGUAAAAAUGAGCCCAACUGUUCUGGGCAUCGAAGGCUCAAUUUUGAGCUGUUAAAAAGAACGAAAAACUGACUCAUAUCGGAGGAGCCCUAAUGUUUUUAAACAUGGGCAAUUCCGAGGGAAGUCGCCAAGAUGGAUUUGGUUGACCCCGUAACGACUUGAUUCUCCAAAGAUUGAAGAAUCAGGUAAUGGCUCUUUAGUCAUUACAAAACGUCAGUCCGAUUUGGAAAAAUCGGAAAGGUAUAGUCUAUACUGUUCGGAAGAACAGAUUUAAUAUUACGAAAGUAAUAAUAUGUCAAACCGUCGUGAGACAGGUUGGUCCAUAUCUGGUGCGGGCGUUGAAGUUUGAGGAGGGUUGUCCCUAGUAAAGUAAUUGCUACUUCACGAAGUAAUUCGUGAUGACAACUCGGCUAAUAACGGUGGAAUCUUAGAUAUUUGGGUUCGUUGAUAACUCUGAUUGAUUAGGUCCAAAAAUCGGAGUACAAUUUACUUGAGGACCAGGAAAUAAUCUAAGACAAUAUCGUGGGAAGUCGAUCAAAUAAUGAUUUAGCGUAUAUAGCAGGAUUUCUUGAUGGUGACGGAAGCUUAAUGCUUCAAAUUAAAAAACGUCACGAUGGGAAAAGGAAAUGGCGUUUCAUGGCCACGAUCUGUUUUUAUCAAGACAGUCGACAUGAGUCUCCAUUAUCCUGGAUACGUUCAGUGCUUGGAAUUGGUUAUGUGUCGAAGCGCAAUGACGGAAUGUCGGAACUGCGAAUCAAUGGAUUCAAGCAGGUUCAAGAUAUUCUGAAAAAGCUGAUGCCAUUCAUCAAGUUUAAAGAUGAGCAGGCAAAAGCCUUAUAUUACGCAACAGAGAUACUGACCAAAGCUCAAGAUUUAAAAUCGCUUAAGAAAUUAAUUGAUUGUGUCUUGAAGAUCCAAGAGCAUAAUUACGCUGCAAAACGUAAGAAGACAAAACAGGAGUUGUAUUCAUUGUUAGAUUUGACCCCGUAACGACUUGUUCCCGAGCUUAGAAAUGAGUGGAGGACGGAUGGAGAGCUUCAAGCGACCGAAGGGUCGCGCAGUACCCAGCGCCAGUAGGCGGCGGGUAUUAGUUCAGUCUCCAUAAGAUGCCGAUCCCCGAUCCUUUUAAAGGGGGGGAAAGAUAUAGUCUGCACCCAUGGUGACAUGGGAAAUCGAUUCUGUAUUCGUAUCAUUCGCAUACAUUCGUGUAUUUGCAUUGUGGUGCGAGCAGAGCGAGUAUGUGACGAGAGGACCGGGAUGAACGAACCUCUGGUCUACCAGCUGUUCUGCCAAGAGCAGCGCUGGGUAGCUAUGUUCGGUUCUGAUAAGCGCUGAAAGCAUAUAAGCGCGAAGCAGGCUCCAAGAUUAGACUUCUUGCGGCGUAAGCCGCGUAGACUCCUUGUAGAUUACGAGGUUGAUAGGGCUCAGAUGUACGCACGGUGACGUGCUUAGUCGAGAGCUACUAAUAUGUCGAAAUAGUAAUCGCUUG
rnacentral:rRNA from 1 species